rnacentral:misc_RNA from 1 species
GAUGAUAUAUCUUGUGUUGUUGUUAGGUUCAGGGUGUAAAGCUCAUUGAAGCUAUCGUUCUCCUGGUGCUGCAUGUAUACCUAUUAUGAAAGUUCCUUUACAUGGGUUGCUGAUUUGUAGAUUAAACGACAAAUACAUAUACUUGGUUGGGAUAACCAUGAGGAUUUGCAGUAGUUGUGAUUUGCCAAAGGGAAGGACAAAAGGGUCCCCAGCCUCUGUAAAUUUAUUUUAUUGAUUAGGUGCCGUUGUUUGAAAUUGUUUGAUUUCUUUAUGAAAUUGAAUUAGAAAUCUGAUUUACAU